UGACAGUGUUACCGAGCAGGGUGACAAAACGUUUGCAACCAAACCCACCGGCUCAGCGAACAUGCCUACAAGCUCAUCCACAACCCGAGCUACAAAUCUUCUCUUAAGCUUUAAACGUUUUACACACAUUUAAUGGGGAAGGUCCUUUAAUUUAGUCUUAUAUUUGCCUCAGGUGCUGGGUGAACUUAUCAUUUGUGAGUGUAGGGGAUGAAAACUUGCAUUUCUUAAAAUGAGGUAGAAACGAGACGGAAACAGGUUAAAUGGAGGAAUAUAACAGAUCACAGCACAGCCCGAGCAUGACCAGGGAGGCUGGAUGUAUUGAUGCUGUAUCAGCCCAUGUUGCUGAUACUCCUGUGUGCUCCAUACUCACUGCCAGUGACUGUAUAUUCUGCACUCACUUCUACUUUGUAUAGUUUAAUAUUUGGAGCCAUUACCUGCGUGACUGGAAUCCUCGGGAUCGGAAUUGGAGCUGCGCUUUCGAAGCACUUUAAAAAGAAGAGCCCCAGAGCUGACCCUCUCAGCUGUGCAGCCGGCAUGUUGAGUUCUAGUCUCUGCCUCUACCUCGCCAUUGUACUGGUUUUGGCAUAGCAUUGCAGCGACAUACGUUUUCAUUGCCUUGGGAGAGACAUUACUCGCUUUGAAUUGGGCAAUUAUUGCAGACAUUCUCUUGGUCAUUUGGAGGUGAAUGCGUGAGAACGAUGUUGAAGUUUGCAAUCUCCAAUGUCUCAUCAGAGGAGAAUGAUGAAGCCAGUUUCUUGAUCUUGUCCUAUAAUCUUAGCUAAAAAUCAUCUGAUUCUCAAGGAACUCUGAUUGUCACAUGGCUUUCCUUUUACCAUUGCAUCUUGACUGCGUGAAACGUACGAGCAUGAGCAGGCUAUUCAACGUCUGAAUUGUCCAAAUAUUCCAUUCAAUGUAUCAGAUCUGAACCUCAACUCCAUCCAAUUUGUCCUGAUUCCAUAUCCAUUGACACCGUGGCUUGAUAUCUUUAUACAUGAGUAUGUGGCCCCGGGUUGUAU